UAACGUUUGCUGUGCUUAGUAAAGCAAAAUGGAAGCCUGGCAGGUUUGCAAAAAGGACAAGCACUCUUUAAGGCUUUGUCUAAACUAUACGUCUUUUGCUUAAAAUAUGCCGGAAAAAAGCUUUUCUUCCAAUCAAAAAUCUUAUUAUUUACUUGAUAGCGACAGCAUUCUUUCUACUACCCGUUUUUCUUUUGAAAAAAACAAUACUUCGAGUUGGAGAAGUUUUGCAGCCCCGGCUUUCACUUCUCUUGAAAUUAAAGCUAUUAAAGAAUUUUCUAAAUCCCUGAAAUUAUUUCGCAGUGAUUCCAGUGUGGACUGUACUAACCUUACAGCGAAGUCAUCUUCCUGUAUAGAUUUCGUCGAUCGUUUUAAAUCUCUUUGUCAGGACUACUACCGUUUGAGCAGUCAAGAAGGCUUCCUUGAAAAUGAAAUUUUUUGGAAGUCAGAAACUGAAACCUGGGACUUGAUAAAAAUUCUUUUUUCUAAUCGUUUC